rnacentral:rRNA from 1 species
UGCCAGCCGCCGCGGUAAUACGGAGGGGGCUAGCGUUGUUCGGAAUUACUGGGCGUAAAGCGCGCGUAGGCGGAUUGUUAAGUCGGGGGUGAAAUCCCGGGGCUCAACCCCGGAACUGCCUCCGAUACUGGCAGUCUAGAGGUCGAGAGAGGCGAGUGGAAUACCGAGUGUAGAGGUGAAAUGCGUAGAGAUCUGAAGGAACAUCAGUGGCGAAGGCGACCUCCUGGACUGAUAUUGACGCUGAGGUGCGAAAGCGUGGGGAGCAAACAGGAUUAGAUA